rnacentral:rRNA from 1 species
GAUGAACGCUAGCUACAGGCUUAACACAUGCAAGUCGAGGGACCGGCGCACGGGUGAGUAACACGUUUCCACCCUGCCCUUUACUCGGGGAUCGCCUUUCGAAAGAAAGAUUAAUACCCGAUAUAAAGGAUGGGGAUGCGUUCCAUUAGGUUGUUGGUGAGGUAACGGAUCACCAAGCCUUCGAUGGAUAGGGGUUCUGAGAGGAAGGACACCGAGAUGGGAACAGAGACCCGGUCCAAACUCGAACGAGAGGCGGCAAUGAGGAAGAUAGGGCAAUGGGCGCUAGCCUGAACCAGCCAAGUAGCGAGAAGGGAGAAGGCUUAUGGGGCGUAGACUUCUUUGAUAUAAGAAUAUGUAUUAUAUGAGUAAGGAUCGGCUAACUCCGUGCCAGCAGCCGCGGUAAUUC